rnacentral:rRNA from 1 species
GUAGGUGGCAAGCGUUGUCCGGAAUUAUUGGGCGUAAAGCGCGCGCAGGCGGUCCUUUAAGUCUGAUGUGAAAGCCCACGGCUCAACCCGUGGAGGGUCAUUGGAAACUGGGGGGACUUGAGUACAGAAGAGGAAAGCGGAAUUCCAAGUGUAGCGGUGAAAUGCGUAGAGAUUUGGAGGAACACCAGUGGCGAAGGCGGCUUUCUGGUCUGUAACUGACGCUGAGGCGUGAAAGCGUGGGGAGCAAACAGGGAUUAGAUACCCUGGUAGUCCACGCCGUAAACGAUGAGUGCUAAGUGUUAGGGGUUUCCCGCCCCUUAGUGCUGCAGCUAACGCAUUAAGCACUCCGCCUGGGGAGUACGGCCGCAAGGCUG